GACGAACCGUCCGAACGUUAUUCGGUAUCACUGGGUUUAAAGAGUUCGUAGGCGGCCUUGCAGGUGAGGUGUGAAAGCCCUCGGCUCAACCGGGGAACUGCGCUUCAAACCGCAAGGCUGGAGGGAGAUAGAGGUGAGCGGAACAGAUGGUGGAGCGGUGAAAUGCGUUGACAUCAUCUGGAACACCGGUGGCGAAAGCGGCUCACUGGAUCUUUUCUGACGCUGAGGAACGAAAGCUAGGGUAGCGAACGGG
rnacentral:rRNA from 1 species